CGGACCAUCUGAAUUUCUAAUUCAAUGACGGAAGGUUACUGGAUGCAGUCAAGUACUUAUCAAGUCGGUGUGUGAAUCAAGAUGGGAUUGACCCCUUGAAAAAGUAAGAGAUAUGCAUUAAUGUAUUUCAAUUUAGUAAAAUCUUGACCAGGAUAAUCUAUGUGAUGUAUUUGAAAGGGUGAAAUACAAUGUGGUUGACUAUUUUAGAGUUGACAGUCAAACCCAAGGUUACUUUGAGCAUUGGGUC
rnacentral:lncRNA from 1 species